UACGGGGGGGGCUAGCGUUGUUCGGAAUUACUGGGCGUAAAGGGCGCGUAGGCGGUCUGCUAAGUUGGAUGUGAAAACUCUGGGCUUAACCCAGAGCCUGCAUUCAGUACUGACAGGCUAGAGUUCUGGAGGGGAUAGCGGAAUUCCUGGUGUAGCGGUGAAAUGCGUAGAUAUCAGGAGGAACACCGGUGGCGAAGGCGGCUAUCUGGACAGAAACUGACGCUGAGGCGCGAAAGCUAGGGGAGCAAACAGG
rnacentral:rRNA from 1 species